CCGCCGCCGCGCCGCGGGGCUCACCCGGCCAGCGGGCCCAGAGCAGAGAGGGGACUAUUUCCCGGCGGCGGCGGCGCAGGGAUCCCGGCGGGAGAUGUGGCGGCUCCGGUGGUGCCGCGGCGAGGGGCGGGAGGAGCCGCGGCCGCGCGGGGACCGAGCGGGAUCAGGAGGCGCAGGAGCGGGGCCUCGGAGAGGGGCCGAGGCCGGCGCCAGCCACCUCGGGGCCAGGGCCGGGUCCCGGCGGGGAAAGCCAGUGCUGUCACAUCGCUGAAAUCACAAGAUGUGUGAACCCGUGCUGGUAUUUCUUUCUAAAUUCAAAAAGUGAUCUAUUUCUUUACCUGUGAAGUGAAUUCUGAUGCGUUACCAAGUGCUGCGGUGUUACCAUCCAGUUUAUCUCAAAUAUUCACGUUUUAUGAGGUAUAAAAGGGCUGAGACAGGCUUCAGGCCGACACUCAGUUACGAUGUGACAGCAGUCUUGCUGCUUAAUCUGGAGAUGCAUUAUUAGUUUGGCUUGUUCUGUGCAAAUACAUUUAAUGUUCUUGUGGCUAUGUUUUAAUAUGUGUUAUAGGUAUUUUUAGUAAUGCCGUGGUAGUUUGUAAGUCUGAUUUCCAGAUGUAGGGAAAAAGUAUAAAUUUAAAUUGCUGUAUAUUAAAUUAAAGUCUCACGUUCCAGCUAAGUGUGUCUGACACGAUCCAUUACCCUUUGUCAUAUCUCAACAAUUCUUCCCAAACUUUGCCCUGGUGGCUGUCUACCCCAAGCUAGUUGGUUAAUUGAUUGAUUGAUUGAUUGAUUGAGGAGUGCUAGUGGAAAUAGUGCAGCUGCUUUCUUAGGGUGAGAUAAAGGGGAGAUGACUACUUGUGUCCAUGCUUAUGGCUACUGAGUGUUCAUAGUGCCUUAUAGUGGGAUUGUAACAUGAUGUAGUUAGUCGUGUUUGCUGUUUCUUGAUACUUGCCUUGAAAGAAUUCCAUUAUGAUCAAGUUAGAUACUUUUGAAAAACCUUUGGUGUAUGUAUGCUUCCUAGAAUGUGUCAGGAAGAUAUUGUCAAGACUUUUCCUCCUUUGGGAAUUUUGUGUCUUUGAAGAACUGUUUUUGUGCCAGCUUUUGGCUUUCUGGCUAUCAAAAAUGCAAGUAAACAAGCUGUGACUCCUUUAUGCUUGCUGUUUUUCAAGAGCUCGAGAGAAAGAUUAGCAAGGACAAGGUGGGAGCAGCGAUGGUUGACUGCCUGCAAGUGCCUCAACAAUUGAGGAUUUGCAGUCUCACAGUUUGACAUACACAAAAAAACUCAAAAUAAGAAACCACUGAGAUGCCAGAGCCACAGGAAAAUCUUGAACCAGUGUUUGUAUUUUUAAGGCAUGAAAUUUACGAAAAGCACAAAAUCGUUAUGAAAAUUGCAGGAAAUUGGGAUUUGUUGUUUUAGUUCUCCUAAGGCAGUCUAUUGGAAGCUUUUAUCUUUAUUUUCUACAGAUGUGAAAUUUGGGCAUACAUGUGGCACUACGACUGUAUUUGUCUGACAGUUCUUAACUACUGAUAAAAGCGGCUGGAAGUUUUAGUAAGCUGUUACAGCUUUCAGGAAUGUUAAGUUCUUACAGGUGUCAUGAAAGUAACCACCUGAAAGGAAGAAGGAUUCCUUGUAGCACGGUUUGGAGGAGAAUUGUCAGAAGAGCUUGACCUUUUCUUUUUCUGUUAUUUGCAUGGCUGCUGAUGAAGCUGCAUUUUGGAGGUUACAAUAAAGGGGGCAUAAGUUCACUUAGUCAAGCACUUAGAUAUUAGCAGAUCCAUAUAAUGAUUUUUUUCCCCCCAUGCAGUCUGGAAGUUGGCUUGCUUUGGGCUCUUUCUUCUCGUGGAUUCUCGUCUUAUCCUUCUCUUGUCUUCUGUUUUAAUUUUUUGGUUGUUUUUUUAUCCCUCUCUCCACAGUUGUUCUGUCAGGUUCAGUAUACGGGUGCUUCUGGAUUACAAGUGACAUGACAAUCAAAUAGUUGUUUGUGAGAUUGGUCCUGCAUUUGUUAUAGAAACUAUGCAUAAGAAAUUAUCCUAGAUUAAUGUUAGCAUAUAGAAUCACAGCAUGGGUUGGGUUGGAAGGGACCUUGAAGAUCAUCUAGUUCCAAACCCUUGCCAAGGGCAAGGAUGCCACUCACUAGAUCAGGUUUUUCAGAGCCCCAUACAACCUGGCCUUGCACAGGGAUGGGGCAUCCACAAUCUCUCCUUGCUUUAUAUUGUCUCCUUUCUUCUUUAUAUCCUUCCUUCACUGUGUCCCUAUUUGUAAUUUUUAUUUCCGGACAUGUUCCCCAGAGGGCAGCAAAGUAACCAGUGCCUUCAGAAGGUGCACAGUCUAAAGAUUCUCUUUAUGAGCCUGUCAGUUUUUCAUUCUUGGAGAUUAUGCCUUUCUUCUUAAAACGUGUUUCCCAAGUCAUAGUUUCAGGGGGAGGGUUUGUAUUUGGUUAUACAAAGUGGAUUGCAACAGAGAGGAAGGGAAUUAGGGAAUGGACAAUUUGAAGGCAAGGUGAAACAGUUGCUUCUUCCCUUUUAGUGAAAUUGCUAAAAAGUAGAAACAGAAGCUCAAAAGGAAACAGCUUUCCCUAUCCAUUAAUUAACUUUUAUUGAAACCUGCACAGCUUCUGAGGAUGCUCCUGAGGCCUCUUGCAAUUUUUGUUGGUGUGGGUGCUUAGAAUUCAUUGCAAACCAGACUUUGAUUGGAGUGUGGACUCCUGCAUAUUAUUAUCUUAUGGUGAGGGUAAAUGAUGGUAUUAACUGUUGAGUGGUGAGCUAGGGGAAAGUAAAGACUCUUUAUUCAGAAGAAACUAAAUUCUUAAAACGAGGUUUUAACAUGCCUGUAUUACUAUAGAAUAAUUUAAGAUGGAAAUGACCUCUAAAAUUGAGUCCAACCAUUAACCCAGCACUGCCAAGUCUGUCACUAAACCACAUCCCCAAGUGCCACGUCCAUGCUUUUUUUAUAUACCGCCAGGGAUGGUGACUCCACUGCUUUCUUGAGCAGCCUGUUGCAAUGCUUGACAACUCUCUCUGUGAAGAAAGUUUUCCAAAUAUCCAAUCUAAACCUCUCCUGAUGCAACUGGAGGCUGUUUCCUUUCCUGUUACCUGUGAGAAGAGACCAAUCCCCACCUGGCUACAGCCUCCUUUCAGGCACUUGUAGACAGCCAUGAAUAUUCCUCUCAGCCUCCUUCUUUCCAGGCUUAACAACCCCAGCACACUCAGCUGCUCCUCAUAAAAUUCGUGCUCCAGACCUUCCACCAGCUUUGUUGCUCUUUGGAUGCUCUUCAUCACCCCUUGUAUGUUAUGCCCAUCUCAACUAUAAAUUUCUAACUCAUUAAAUUCUAGGUCAGGGAAAGUAUUGCAGAUCACAUGUUUGUCCUUUUUAUCUUAUGGUGACAGUUUCAUGCUUUCACUUUUUUUGGAAAGAGCGUUUUGACAGUUUAGUGUCUUGGGAAUGUUGCCUUACACCAUUUAAAAUCAGUGUCUUUAAAUAUUUUUAGAAACAGGUCAACAGAUUUGUGAUGCUUCUCCAGAAAAAUUUUGGAUAGAUGAUGUGUGUUGUGUGAAACCGAAAGAAAACAGGAUGACCAUGGAAACCUUUUGGCAAUAUCCAGCCUGGACACUUGUGCUUUAAUGUGAAGGUCUAUAAUUGUUCCAUAAAGAAAAGUAAGCUCUUUGUCGUCAUAAACACAUUAAGAAAAGCAUGCCUAGGAUCAAGGUAAUUUCAGAUCAAUUACACUGCUUGGAGUCUAUUCACGCCUCUGCUGGAAAAUAUAUAGGUGUCAUCCAUCAAGUCCUGUGUUUCUUUUAUAUUAAACGUAACUAGGCCUGCUGGGUGGUAAGUGGGAGGCUUAGAGUGGACAGGGUGAGAUUUAUUAGUUCUUUUACACUGAUGGUUGUUGCUGUGUUUCAUUCAACGUUCUUGAAUUUUUCAAGGACUUCACAUUUUAGUGGAACCAGUGGAAUGGUGGAUUUUCUACAGCUCUAGAAAAUCAGGUCUUCAGUCUCAACCUAGCACUUACUAGUGCCGCUUUUGAAUUCUAGUCUUAAUGUUUUAAGGCAGAAAUUAGUAAAAAAUGUGUUCUAUAACUGGCUAUUAAAAUGAAAUAGCAAAGAAUUUGCUGUCUUUCUACUGUUAAUAUCCCCCAACUGAGAUUUUUUUUCUUUGUUUUCUUUCUUUUUGUAGUGCUCUCUUCCAGUUAAAGGUUUCAAGAGUUAUCUGCUUUCCGGAUCUGAAUGGAAUUCUUCUGCAUCAGAACUGUUGGUAACUUAUUCUUGGGAGAUGAAGAAAGUCAUGUUGCAGUUCCUUUGAGAAGCUUAAGGACUUCAGCAGUGGUAGACAUUUUUUCUUAUUUAAAGGCCUGUCACCAGGAGGGACAGCUGUUCCUGCUCAGCCCUUUCAAUAUCAUUGUUUCAUUUCUCUUCAGUUAAUCUAAAUAUCUGGUUGCCUGUUGCUGUGCUAACUUGAAGAGGUGACCAUUUGCAAAAUAUUUUGUUGUUUCUUAGAAGUUCCUGUGUUAUGGAGCUGUGCUGGAUUUUGAAGAUUUAUGCUCCUCAGUUGUUUGGCUACUUCUGCUUUUCCUUCCCACUGUCAAAGAAUGCAACAAAGUUUUGUCUACACAGAAAGCAGUAAUGCAUGUGAGUAAUGUGAGUAAUGCAGCACGUUAACAUUACUAAGUGGGAACUAUGUAAUGAAAUGCUAUACUCAGAAAGAAUAUGAAAUAAAGUGGCAAGAGUUUAGUCUGGUUUUUUUCCCUUCUCUAUUCUAGGUGGGUUUUUUGUUUUGGAGGAGAGGUUGAUUUCUGGCUGUUGAUAAACCUUCCAUAACUGAAAAGUACAAGGAACUGGUAUGGUAAAGUCUUAAGGUAAGAAACAUUACAGAAUAUGUGACUUCAAAGCAGGACUUCUGAGUACAUGUAAGGCAAAACCUAUAACAUAUAAGCUCUGUGCAAGAACUUUAUUCACUGUGCUGAGGAUAGUUUUAUGUAGUUAUAUGCUGGGUACACUUUAAGGUGUGUUUCUUGGAGGCUGCUUGGAAAGAAGCACUAGCCAUGCUUUUACCACUGUCAGCCUCACAGGUGGGAUGCUUCUGUCCAGAAAACAAACAAUGAGACUUUUAAGACUGUUGGACUUUUUAAAUUUACCAAAGAGUAUAAUCUGGGGAGUCUGACUCAGUGUUAUUUGGGAAUUUUUUGUAUUAUUACAUUCUUGGAAAAUGCUGUAUAGUAGAAUACAAAGAGAAAAAAAAAAUAGAAAAAAAAGAGGACCUGCUAACUAGCACAAUAUAGAAUUAAAAAUGGCUUUUAAAAAUAUUGUUAUAUUAGAGACUACUAGACAACAGUUGAGAGAUAAAGAUGCAAUUAGUAACAAUACAGUAAUUCAGCCUUCAGAGCUCCUUGCUACUUGACAAAAAACAAUCACCCAGAACUAUGGGUUCCUAGGUUUAUUGUGGACAGGGCAUGCAGAUAAAAUUAUUUGUUACAAUUACUUAGCAGGGCCCUGCAUUCUGCUAGAAUUCAAGCAAACUGUAUCUGAACUGCUUCUUUUUGCCUUGUUUUAUAUUGAUCAAGAGACACAGAAAAAAUGAGGCCAGGAAAAUAUGCAAUAGAUGUGAUAAUUAAAAAAAAUCCCACCAAACCUGGAACCAAAGAAACUAUGGGUAUUUUCUGUCCCUUCUCUGAGUAACACCACCAGUGGGUCACUGCCUCUGCUCUGAGGCAGGGAGAGGCUGUGGCCAUGCCAGGACAGGGUUGAGACAAGAGGAUUGAGUAGACACAGCUGCAGUGAGGAGAAGGGUGAUAGUAGCUGUUGUCCCAAACAAGAUGUGUGGUGACUUUAUGUUGGGUUCUAGGAGUUUUAUUUUUUCCCUCCCUUACUCUGGAAAUCCAGGAUGCUUCCUCCUGUUAAAAUAAAUGGAGAUGGACAUGCUGUCCAAAUGGGGAAAAAAUUUCUAUGCCCUUUUGAGGUGUUCUUUAAGAAGGAACAGUUCCUCCCUGUUAGCCCACACUCCAAAUGUUAGAUGUAUAAAUAAAAACUGGCUGUGUACUCCCUCAUCAGUUUUAUUUUGAGAUUUUUUUUUUCUUACUUUCAGAACAGUGGAUUUUCUUAGUUAUUUUUCCAUAAUUGUUACCCAUGAAAACUCUGGAGGAAAUUCAGUAAUUCCAAAACUAGAAAAGUGUUAAUAUUUAUUGUUUGACAAAUUUGUUAUGGCUGCUUAGAAAUGCUAACAUACCUCGGUUCCUAGGUCUGCAGUCUGCUGUGCAACUGGAUAUUUCUUUGAGUUUAUUUCAGACUCCAGAAAUAAUUGGACCUUUAGGAACCUCAGGCUGAACUUGACGAGUAUCUCAAGACAGUAUAGAAAUAGAUGGAACAGUUUCAGUAAGAUGCACAGAUAUCUUCUCAAAUUCUUUCCUUUUGAUGGACACAUGUGAUUGUUAAACUACUGACUUGCCUUAGUUUUAAGGACCUUUGUUUUUCAUUGCUUUUCCCACGAGAUAACAAAUAAGGUUAAUCACAAGCAACUAAGUAUUCAUGGAUGUUAUUACUUAACAGGAGGUCUUUGCCUGCAUUCCUCUGGGGGUAAGAAUUUGUACAAUAAUGACUGCUUCAUUGAUUUUAAUGUAAAAAGAAAUAAAGUUAUAAUUGUUUCUCCAUCUUAGUUGUAAUUCAGAUUUCUUUUUUUUUUGUUUAGUAUCUGUAUGGCAGUGUAACUUGUGUAGUACCUUCUGUAAUUUGUUAUUCUAUCAAUUAAUGUAUUAUAUUUUGACAGUUUAUCAAAAGCUGUAUGGUAAUAUACAAAUUGAACUCAAUUUAAAGAUCGAAUACUCUUUUUGUUUUUAGGGUUGGUGGUAGUUUGUUAUAACUGUGUUAUAAUUCUUGGUUUUGAUAGUUUAUUUUUUACAAAGACCAAAAGGAAGUUUGCAAAACAGAGAAGAAAUCAAAAAGACCUUAAAUAAAUCAGUUAUUUUCAAUAUAAACCAGCUAAAUUCGUAGCCUAUGAGAUGUCCCUAACUACCAUGUUUCUUUACCCAUUUGAUGCUGUGACCGUGAAAUGAGAAGUCCCAAAGUACUGGCAAAAUCUAACAGCAGAAGCCUUGUGCAACUUUGGAAGAACUGGGUUUGUCCAGACUGCGAGGCAGCAAGAGCUGACAGAUGAGCAUUAUAGCAACUUUUCAUGCAUUUGAAAACUUGCAAAAGGGUUGGUGAUUUUUGUGACUGCAGAAGGAAGAGUUUUUACUGGCUUCAAAGACCAGAUGACUUAGUGGCAUUUUAGGAAAAGCUUUCUCACAAGAUAUGUUAGACGUUGGAACAGAUUGCCGAGAGACUCUAAUGGCUGACAAAGGGAAAGUUUUUAAAGUUACCUUAGUGUCUCUCAACGGUGAACCAUGUGAUAAAGUGCAAGAAGUGAGCUCUGUCCAAUUCCAGUGUUUUUAUUUUAUAAAUGCUGUGGUGUUAAAUGACCUUCCCAUAAGUUAAUUCUUGGAGCUGAUGUUUUCAAGGUAUUUGCGUGUAUGAACGCUGGAAGUUGACAGUCAUGUUAUUAAAUGGUUUGAUAUAAACACAGGCUGCUGCCAAAGAGGGACAUGCCUUAGCUGCCCUUUUCUGGCUGGUUUUCAAUUCAGUGGGGUGACAAAUAUGCACAGCUUAGAUGUGCAUAUUUGAUGAAGGCAAAUCUAUCCCUUUUGCAGCAGCAGCUGCUCAGUGUGACCAUGGAACAGGAGCUCAAGGCUCUGCAGCCAAGGGAUGGUCACUUAUGGGAUGAUUGAUACUUCAUGUCCUGACCUAGGGCCUUGUUCAGGAAAGAACACGCUGAAAGAGCGGCAUAAUGCAAGACAGCUGAAUGUUUUCUAUAGCAAGCUAUCUCCUUUUCCAUUAAUCUUAAAUGGAAGUGUUAGAUAUUUAGUUCUGUCCAGUAGGCUUUAGCAAACAUGCAAAUUAAGCAACUCCAGCUUUCAAGUUUCAAAAAAAAAUUAUAGCUGGAGAGAGGUAACUCACUAGUAAUGAAGUCGGACAGAGUACAUGUCCUGCUUCAAGUGGGGCUUUACCUCCAGCUCUGUAUCAUUUGCAAAAUUUAACAGUGAUGAUGAGAAAAUUAGUAUAGAAUUCAAAAUCAUCACAGUAAGACAUUAUCACAAUGUCCCUUUGCUCUAGUGGUGAAAAAUCCAUACCGUCAGCAAGAAUCAUAUUUUGCAGGGGGGAGAAAGUCCAAAGAAGGUAGAAGAUCCAGGAGAAAUCUUUCAUUUGUUAUUGGGUCCAGCAGAGAUGGAGCUCAUUUUCCCCCCAGCAGCCCCCAGAGCUGUGCUGUGCAUUGGCAGCUGUAAAGGUGCCCAUAAGACAGCAGUGUUUUGGCUGCUGCUGAGCAGCACUGGCACGGUGUCAGCGCUGUCACUCCAGCAUCUUCUCCUCACCAGGAGGGUGGGGGUGGGCAAAAUCUUGGGAUGGAACACAACCAGGACAGCUGACCCACUGACUGAAGGGAUAUUUCAUACCAUGUGAUGCCUGCUCAGAUACAGAAGCUAAGGAAAAGGAGUAGGGAGGGGGGACAUUUGUUAUUUACAGUGUUUAUCCUCUGGGGCAACCACUGUGUGCUGAAGCCCGCCUCCUGGGAAGUGGCAAGACACCACUCACUGAU